GGCGUGUAUACCAGGAACCCCUACACGAAUUUCGACAGGUCGGGCAUGGAACAGAAUCGUACGUCGGGUAGUCAGACUAUUUCACUCUCUCACUACAGCACGUGAGGGCUCUUCAUUGCCCAGAACAUUACACUGCCUCCGCUGGCCUGCCUUCUUCUCAUAAUGAAUCCUGCUGCUAGCUCUUCCCCAGGUAAACUACGCAAACGAACCUGGUUACACAUGAUCUAAAAGAGACCGUAAUUCAAC